rnacentral:rRNA from 1 species
GAUCUCGAAAUAAAAAUAGCUAAUUUUAUAGAAGAGUUUUUGUGGCAUAAAAAUUUUUAAUAUAAAAUUAGAAAUGAAAUAUUAAUCGAGUUUUAUAUUAUCUGGUUCUUUGAAAUGUAAAUAUAAUUAAGAUUUUAUAGAUAAUAUAUGAUUAUUAUAUAAUAAAUAUAAAAUGAAAAAAUAGAAGGGAAAAGCUUUUUAUUUAAAAGGAAUAGCUAGAUAUAAAAAGUAGUUUUAUUUAGGCUUAAGAGUAGCCAUAUUUAUAAAGUGUUUUAACUAAGAAUUUAACAUUAAUAUUAUUUUUAUGAAGCUUUAUGAGAAUAUCAGGGAUUUGUUUUAAAUUAUGUACAAUAAGAUAAAAUGAUUUUAUUAGUAGAAAAAGUGGUUAUAAGUAGAAUUUAAAUAGUAAAUAAGUUAUUUAAAGAAUUAGGUAAUAUAGAGGAAUUCGGCAAAUAAUUUCUUUGCCUGUUUAUCAAAAACAUGUUUGUUUGUAGUUAUAAACAAUUUGACCUGCCCCCUGACUUAAAAUUAAAGGGCCGCAGUAUUAUAACUGUGCAAAGGUAGCAUAAUCAUUAGGUUUUUAAUUGAGAUCUUGAAUGAAUGGUUGGACAAAAGAAAAACUCUCUUUAUAUUAAUUUUAAAUUUAACUUUUAAGUGAAAAGGCUUAAAUACACUAAGGGGACGAUAAGACCCUGUAAAACUUUACAUUGUAAUUAUAUUUAAGUGAAUUUAUAAUAUAAGGGUUUAAUUUAAUUAUUUGUUAUGUUGGGGAGACACAUGUAAAAUUAUAUUUAACUGCUUGGAUAAUUUGUACAAGUAUUGUUGAUAAGUAGAAGAUCCUUUUUUAAGAUUAACA